UACAGAGGUCUCAAGCGUUGUUCGGAUUCAUUGGGCGUAAAGGGUGCGUAGGCGGCGCGGUAAGUCGGGUGUGAAAUCUUGGAGCUUAACUCCGAAACUGCAUUCGAUACUGCCGUGCUUGAGGACUGGAGAGGAGACUGGAAUUUACGGUGUAGCGGUGAAAUGCGUAGAUAUUGGGAGGAACACCAGUGGCGAAGGCGGCUACCUGGACCGGUUCUGACGCUGAGGCGCGAAAGCGUGGGUAGCAAACAGG
rnacentral:rRNA from 1 species